GCUGUUUGAGACCUUCUCGCUGUUCACUUGUCAACUGCUCUUUGGGGAACUCCACAUCAAAUGUUAUUAUUAGUGAGCCUUUGAUAUUAUUGUUAUCAAAAUUCGGAAGACCUUCUCCUUUCUUCCACAGUUUGGCCCCAGGUUUAGUAAUUUUAUCCCGAGCAACAUGAACCUUGUGCCCAUCCAAGUGGGUUAUAUCCAUUUCAAAGCCUGUAAGUGCCUCGACCAGCGAGAUUGUCACGUUUGUAUACAAGUCAUCUCCUCUUCUUUCAAAGACUGGGUGCUUGAGAACUUUUAUUCGGAAACGCAAAUCACCUGGCUCCCCAUCCACAUGGGGUUCCCCCUCACCAAUGAAGGGAUAUUCCAUACCAUCCCUCACGCCUGGCUCUAUCUCCACUUCCAGUGUUCGCUCUUCAUUCACAAGCUUGACAUUGGGACAUUCAUCACAAACAACUUCUUGAGUCAUCUGGAAGCGCCCAGGGCCCAGCUGCGUGGUCCUCAUCUCCUGCCGGCAAUUGCAUUUCCGUUUGCCAGGUGCCUGUCUUGCCACUGGCUUGUUCCUCACAACUUCUACAAAGUUUCCUGAAUACACCUCCUCCAGUGUAACCUCCAGGUCCACAAUGAUGUCGCUGCCCCGAGGGAUGUUCCUGUCCUGUUGGCGAGGGUUACCUCCAAACAUGAAUCCAAAGUCCCCAAAAAAGUGUGAGAAGAUGUCUCCAUGGGAACUCUGGUGCCCAUCUUUCAACCCCUCCUCACCAUACGCAUCGUACUGUUUCCUCUUCUCCUCAUCUGACAGCACCUCAUAGGCGGCCCCCAGGUCCUGGAACUUCUCCUGGGCCCGCGGGUCGUCGGGGUUCCUGUCGGGAUGCAGCUGCAGCGCCAGUUUGCGGUACGCCUUCUUGAUGUCCUUCACGGAGGCGCCGCGGGACACCCCCAGGAUCUUAUAGAAAUCCCUCCCGGCGGCGGCCUCCCCGCAGAGGCAGAGCAAGAGAAGACAGACGCGGCCGAGCCAGCCGGGGGCCAUGGCCGGGCCGAGAGGAGGCCGCCGCCCGCACUCCGUCCCUCACACACGAAGCCGGCGCCCGGCCGCAGCCGCCAGCCAAUGAGAGAGCGACCCAACCAUAACCGCCAGCCAUUGAGGAGCGGCCCAG
rnacentral:lncRNA from 1 species